rnacentral:rRNA from 1 species
UACGUAGGGGGCAAGCGUUGUCCGGAUUUAUUGGGCGUAAAGAGCGUGUAGGCGGCCAGAUAGGUCAGCUGUGAAAACUCGAGGCUCAACCUCGAGAUGUCGGCUGAAACCAUCUGGCUAGAGUCCGGAAGAGGAGAAUGGAAUUCCCGGUGUAGCGGUGAAAUGCGCAGAUAUCAGGAGGAACACCAAUGGCGAAGGCAGCUCGCUGGGACGGUACUGACGCUGAGACGCGAAAGCGUGGGGAGCGAACAGG